rnacentral:rRNA from 1 species
CACCUCUAGCAUUUCCAGUAUUAGAGGCACUGCCUGCCCAGUGACAUCUGUUUAAACGGCCGCGGUAUCCUAACCGUGCAAAGGUAGCAUAAUCACUUGUUCCCUAAAUAGGGACUUGUAUGAAUGGCCACACGAGGGUUUUACUGUCUCUUACUUCCAAUCAGUGAAAUUGACCUUCCCGUGAAGAGGCGGGAAUGACUAAAUAAGACGAGAAGACCCUAUGGAGCUUUAAUUAACUGAUUCACAAAAAACAACACACAAACCUAACCUUCAGGGACAACAAAACUUUUGAUUGAAUCAGCAAUUUCGGUUGGGGUGACCUCGGAGAACAAAACAACCUCCGAGUGAUUUAAAUCCAGACUAACCAGUCAAAAUAUAUAAUCACUUAUUGAUCCAAACCAUUGAUCAACGGAACAAGUUACCCUAGGGAUAACAGCGCAAUCCUAUUCCAGAGUCCAUAUCGACAAUUAGGGUUUACGACCUCAAUGUUGGAUCAAGACAUCCUAAUGGUGCAACCGCUAUUAAGGGUUCGUUUGUUCAACGAUUAAAGUCUU